GACAGAGGGUGCAAACGUUGUUCGGAAUUACUGGGCGUAAAGCGUGUGUAGGCGGUCCUCUAAGUCGGAUGUGAAAUCCCUGGGCUCAACCCAGGAAGUGCACUCGAAACUGGAGGGCUAGAGUAUCGGAGAGGUUGGUGGAAUUCUCGGUGUAGAGGUGAAAUUCGUAGAUAUCGAGAGGAACACCGGGUGGCGAAGGCGGCCAACUGGACGAAUACUGACGCUGAGGAGCGAAAGCGUGGGGAGCGAACAGG
rnacentral:rRNA from 1 species